rnacentral:rRNA from 1 species
AUUGAACGCUGGCGGCAGGCUUAACACAUGCAAGUCGAGCGAGCGGCGGACGGGUGAGUAAUGUCUGGGAAACUGCCUGAUGGAGGGGGAUAACUACUGGAAACGGUAGCUAAUACCGCAUACCAUCGGAUGUGCCCAGAUGGGAUUAGCUGGUUGGUGGGGUAAUGGCUCACCUAGGCGACGAUCCCUAGCUGGUCUGAGGGGAUGACCAGCCACACUGGACCUGAGACAAGGUCCAGACUCCCACGGGAGGCAGCAGUGGGGAAUAUUGGACAAUUGGCGCAAGCCUGAUGCAGCCAUGCCGCGGGUGUGAAGAAGGCCUUCGGGUUGUAAAGCACUUUCAGCGAGGAGGCGUUACUCGCAGAAGAAGCACCGGCUAACUCCGUGCCAGCAGCCGCGGUAAUUC